UACGAAGGGGGCUAGCGUUGCUCGGAAUCACUGGGCGUAAAGCGCACGUAGGCGGGUUCUUAAGUCAGGGGUGAAAUCCUGGAGCUCAACUCCAGAACUGCCUCUGAUACUGGGAACCUUGAGUCCGGGAGAGGUGAGUGGAACUGCGAGUGUAGAGGUGAAAUUCGUAGAUAUUCGCAAGAACACCAGUGGCGAAGGCGGCUCACUGGCCCGGUACUGACGCUGAGGUGCGAAAGCGUGGGGAGCAAACAGG
rnacentral:rRNA from 1 species